CAGCAGACAAGUGGCAGAGCGGGGAUUAGAACCCACGACCUCUGACUCCCAACCCCGGGCUCUUUAAGCCAUUCUGCUUCUUGUGAACUCGAGAGGGAACACAAUAGUUAAUGGGAAAGGAUACGAUUCCCGACCUUGAGGAAUUUACAGUCUAAGGGGAAGUGAGACACAGAAUAAAUUACCGAUAGGAGGGUGAAAAGGGAAAGAUGGGUGGCUGGACAAGUGCUGAGGGUGAACAAAUUGACAUGUACAAAAGCACUACAGCUAAGUAAAUAUGUGCUGAAGUGAUAGGUGAGGGAGCUCCUCAGGGGACAAGGACCAUGUCUAAUGCCCAUCUGUGCAUCCUCUUCCAGUACUUCCUACGGUGCUCUGCACUCCCUUGGGCAGGGAAUGUGUCCAUUAUCUUGUUGUACUCUCCGAAGCUCUCAGUACAGUGUUCUGCACGCCGUAAGCGCUCAGUAAAUACGAUAGAAUGAAUGAAUUAUGUUUAAUAGUAUUAUGACCUGAAGAGAAGAUAAUCAAUGGUGCUUAUUGAGAGCUUAUGGUGUGUGUAGCGCUGUACACAAUAGAGCAGGUAGAUAUGUUUCCUGCUCUCGGGGAGCUUAAAAAUCUAAUUUGGAGUUUACAACUUGGGACUGUCUACUAGGAGGUGGGAGUUCAGGAGGACUUUGAAAAUGUAGGUUAGGGAUAUGCAGAUGGAUGUUUUUUUUAGAUCACUUCCCUCCUUUUGUUACCUGUGUGGCAGUCUCUCUUUCUCUCCCCCAACCCUCCCCCGCCCCCCCCCCACUUAUUUCUUCUUCCCCUACCCACCUGGAAAUGGGAGAAACAAUAAUGACUAGGCAACCCAGCCAGGAGAUGAGGGGCGAGGUUCAGAAACUCUCUUGAGGGGAGAGCAGGUGUGUGUUACCCUGGGCAAGGGAAUUGGGCAGAAAAACAGGAAGGCAUCUUCUCCCUGGAGGGUUUUGGCUUGGGAUGAUGGGAAAAUGGUGCCUCGGGGGAUCUGCUGCCGCCUCUCCCCGCCCCCACCGCUGUCGCCGCCGCCGGUCCGGCUGGUGGGGCGGGCAGGGCAUGGCGCCCGCUGCCCCGCGGGGUCAGGCCGGGGUCAGGCCGGGGUCGGGGCCGGGGUCGGGGGCGCCGGCGGCCGCGCGCCCGUCUGGGCUUUGUAAACAAUGGGUGACGUCGGGCGCGCGCGUGGGCCCCACCACCGACGCCGCCCCCGGGGGGGACGGACCACGGGGACGCGACCAUUCGCGAGCCCGGGGGGGGGGGGGAAACGGGACGGGCGGGGACCCCACCAUCCGCGGCGGCCGGGGGGAGGUGGGGACCCUACCAUCUACGGAGCCCC
rnacentral:lncRNA from 1 species